rnacentral:ncRNA from 1 species
GAUUGCAUUCAAACCACCUCUCUGCAAUCGCGGCUG